AUUGAACGCUGGCGGCAUGCCUUACACAUGCAAGUCGAACGGUAACAGGUUAAGCUGACGAGUGGCGAACGGGUGAGUAAUGUAUCGGAACGUGCCCAGUCGUGGGGGAUAACUGCUCGAAAGAGCAGCUAAUACCGCAUACGACCUGAGGGUGAAAGCGGGGGAUCGCAAGACCUCGCGCGAUUGGAGCGGCCGAUAUCAGAUUAGGUAGUUGGUGGGGUAAAGGCUCACCAAGCCAACGAUCUGUAGCUGGUCUGAGAGGACGACCAGCCACACUGGGACUGAGACACGGCCCAGACUCCUACGGGGGGCAGCAGUGGGGAAUUUUGGACAAUGGGCGCAAGCCUGAUCCAGCCAUGCCGCGUGCGGGAAGAAGGCCUUCGGGUUGUAAACCGCUUUUGUCAGGGAAGAAAAGGUUCUGGCUAAUACCUGGGACUCAUGACGGUACCUGAAGAAUAAGCACCGGCUAACUACGUGCCAGCAGCCGCCGUAACAC
rnacentral:rRNA from 1 species